rnacentral:rRNA from 1 species
ACUCAAAGGAAUUGACGGGGGCCCGCACAAGCAGUGGAGUAUGUGGUUUAAUUCGACGAUACGCGAAGAACCUUACCAAGGCUUGACUUCCCUUUGACGGUUUUGGAAACAAGACUUCCCUUCGGGGCAAAGGUGACAGGUGGUGCAUGGUUGUCGUCAGCUCGUGUCGUGAGAUGUUGGGUUAAGUUCCGCAACGAGCGCAACCCUUACAGUUAGUUGCUACGCAAGAGCACUUUAGCUGGACUGCCGCUGAUAAAACGGAGGAAGGUGAGGACGACGUCAAAUCAUCAUGCCCUUUAUGCCUUGGGCUACACACGUACUACAAUGGCCGUUAACAACAGGAUACAAUGGCGCAAGCCGGAGUCAAACCUUUAAAAGCGGUCUUAGUUCGGAUUGCAGGCUGAAACUCGCCUGUAUGAAGUCGGAAUUGCUAGUAAUCGCGAAUCAGAAUGUCGCGGUGAAUACGUUCCCGGGCCUUGUACACACCGCCCGU